AUUGAACGCUGGCGGCAUGCCUUACACAUGCAAGUCGAACGGCAGCACGGGUGCUUGCACCUGGUGGCGAGUGGCGAACGGGUGAGUAAUACAUCGGAACGUACCUUAUCGUGGGGGAUAACGCAGCGAAAGCUGUGCUAAUACCACAUACGCCCUGAGGGGGAAAGCGGGGGAUCGCAAGACCUCGCGCGAUUAGAGCGGCCGAUGCCUGAUUAGCUAGUUGGUGGGGUAAAAGCCCACCAAGGCGACGAUCAGUAGCUGGUCUGAGAGGACGAUCAGCCACACUGGGACUGAGACACGGCCCAGACUCCUACGGGAGGCAGCAGUGGGGAAUUUUGGACAAUGGGGGCAACCCUGAUUCAGCAAUGCCGCGUGAGUGAAGAAGGCCUUCGGGUUGUAAAGCUCUUUUGUCAGGGAAGAAACACCGGCUCUAACACAGUCCGGGAAUGACGGUACCUGAAGAAUAAGCACCGGCUAACUACGUGCCAGCCGCCGCCGUAA
rnacentral:rRNA from 1 species